rnacentral:rRNA from 1 species
CGGACGGGUGAGUAACGCGUGAGUAACCUGCCUUACACAAGGGGAUAGCCGUUGGAAACGACGAAUAAUACCCUAUGACAUAAACUCUUCGCAUGAAGAGCUUAUCAAAGAUUUAUCGGUGUAAGAUGGACUCGCGUCUGAUUAGCUAGUUGGUGAGGUAACGGCCCACCAAGGCAACGAUCAGUAGCCGGCUUGAGAGAGUGUACGGCCACAUUGGGACUGAGACACGGCCCAGACUCCUACGGGAGGCAGCAGUA